rnacentral:rRNA from 1 species
UACGGGGGGGAGCAAGCGUUGUUCGGAUUUACUGGGCGUAAAGGGCGCGUAGGCGGCGUGACAAGUCACUUGUGAAAUCUCCGGGCUUAACUCGGAGCGGCCAAGUGAUACUGUCGUGCUAGAGUGCGGAAGGGGCUACUGGAAUUCUCGGUGUAGCGGUGAAAUGCGUAGAUAUCGAGAGGAACACCUGCGGCGAAGGCGGGUUGCUGGGCUGAUACUGACGCUGAGGCGCGAAAGCCAGGGGAGCGAACGGG